CCCUAGAACGGCGCCGGAUGACGUCAUUUUGUAGUGCCAAACCCCGGAAACGAGUUAGCAUUUUAGCGCUCGAGCUUCGCUGCGCGAGGGGGAAAUCAUGAUACUAACAUGAUGCUAAGUGGCACUAUAGAGGUUGUUGGGGACAUUAAAAGUCAUCCCGCCGAACAGGAAAAAACUUUGCAGAUAAACUCGGGGCUCUACACUGCGACCAUUUCACUCGCAUUUGCGACUGAAAAGUGACUGUGAAUAAAUAUUUAUUCGCACCAGUGCGAGUGACCUGUUCGGAGUUGUAUAUACAAUCGGAAUAAAAACUACAGGAAGUGCAAAAUGCAUCUACACCGCGCAACAGUUACUUUCACACUGCUUUUCAUCUCCUCAGUCAACCGAAGAAGUGUGUAAAUACUGCAGAGAAGCCAUUAUGAUGAAAAGUAACACUGAACAUCAUGUGUCUCUCAACUUGCCGAUAUCACCAACCGCCAUCUUUUAUUGAUCCCGCAAAAUGACCUGAACCUGCGACUGUGACCUGCUCGUGUAAACACAGCGGCGUCGGGCGGAGUAAAUGAAUAAUAAUGCUAACGCUACAAGACAGCUAUAAAGAGGGCAGGACCGGGUCAGACCUCCAGUCAGACGUGGAAGUGUCUGGGAAAAGACCACCAAGGUGUAAAACAUAUGGAUAUUUAUUCAGCACAUCACUAUUACUAUUCCUUGAUGCUUUGAGGCUGUAUUUAAAAUGGAGGAGUGUCCGGACCCCCUGGAGAUAAGGAGCAUUGAUUGUUUGACUCAGAGGAUGUGUGACACACCACCCAAACACAUUCUUCCACCUGCCCCUACUGUUAACUUCCCCACAGUCACCCCAAACACCAUUUUCAUCCCUGUUCCCACCACCACUUUACCACCAGCAGCAGCACAUGGCUCAUUCAUAGAGAUGCUGCAGAACUGGCAGCCGAUGGACGAUAUGCCAUGAAGUCCAGGUGCAGCCUUUGGAUAUUGAUGAAGAAUUACUGCCCUUGCAAGACCUUCCUCAACUGUGUAGACUGGAGCAAAUGAUGCAAUAGAGCCCAGAUUACAAGCAAAAACUGGUGAGAAUUUUUUUUUUCUUUCUUUAACAAUUGCUUGCACAAUUACACAUAUACUGAGAGUGUUACUUUUUUUCUCAAAAUGAGACACUCAUACUCAAAGCACAACAUUCAACACCACUUUGAUAUGAGGGAACAGUUAUGACCUAAUCUUUAUCAGGAACCAAGCAACCAUAAAGUCAGAUUUUUAAUUUCAUUGCAUUAUUUACAACUUGAUAUUAUGGAGUCGAGUGUAAUGUAAAAUCAAAUGACAGCUUUAACUUUAAUUGCGGAAAGACCAUGGUAAAACUAGGAUAAGCCAUGGCUAGGUGUGCAUUAAACGAUUUGAACGAGUGGUUCUUUGCCUCCACAUCAUGCAUUAAAAUCGUUUAAUGCACACCUAGCCGUGGAUUACUCCUUACAUAUCAUCUGAGAGAGACAGAUAACUCUGUAUGUAAACAGAUAUACUUACCAAUUACGACCUCUGCGAGUUGGAGAGUGACCAGUGAAGUCUUUACAUUGACUCCCCUCCAAUGGAGGUUCUUUGCCAAUGAGUUGGCAAUCACCCUCUUCAAUAUGUGCCAGGUGCAGUCGCGCACAUGUGCCCCGUCAAUAAGCGCCAACCAGUUUACCUGAAACCGAUUUUUAAAAAACAAUAAUAUAAUAUAAAAAUUAAUAAGCAUGUAUUUCCUCAUCACCUAUGUCAGUGCUUCUCACUACGCCUGCAGUUACCCUGCCCUGUGUUUUCCAUGUUUUCCUCCUCUACCAAAGAUAAGGUUCCUUUAUACAAUGUCUUGGCCUCCCCUAGAUAGUUCUAAACACUAGUUUUAAUUUUCACCUUUGUACCCCUUAAAAUGGAUUAGUAGUUAAAAACUUUUUAUUCUUGUCUUACCUUGAGAUGAGCCUCCUAGGGAAGAGUCAACAUCUGUGAACGGAAAAAUAAAAUACUAUAACAAGCAGUAGUUGUGCUUGGUCUACAUGAAAUGAAUCAAACCUCAAUGGACAUGCUGGUAGACUGAGGUUGAUGCUCAUACCAUCUGGGGUGCCUAGAGGUUCCUCAACAGGUCGCCUAGCUCUGUUCAUUCCUGUGGUAUGAAUAGUAUAGCUCAAUAUAAAGUUUCUGGUGUCACAUGUUCAUACACAAACUGUUCUACACCUUUAAGGUGAAACUGUAAAUCUCUAGCAAGAUAUCCUCCACAUCCCAAACAAAAACAGUUAAAACUGAAAGGUCUAAUUUUGUUGGGUAGUGAUUUGGUUGAUGCUUUACUUUGUGAAAUUUGUUGUCAAGGUACAGUAUAAGUCAGCUUAUUUUUGUGGUAUGUCUAUGACAAGUGCAAUAAGCAGAUGAACCUCAGCCUAUUAACAGUCAAGAUACUUUAAAUUUACUUGGCACAUAUU
ensembl:lncRNA